rnacentral:tRNA from 1 species
GGCCCUGUUGCGUAAUUGGUAACGCACCGAUUGACUAAUUCAGGAUCCAGGUUCGAGUCCUGGCAGGGUCU